rnacentral:tRNA from 1 species
CAGAAUAAAAUAAUUUAUUUUUCAUUUACAAUGAUUAUGAUUUUGUGUAAUUCAAGAUAUUCUGA